UAUGUAGGGGAGUAGGGAAACUAUGGAUGAAUUGGAUGGAAACUCAUCUUCAAUUUGUAGCUGAAGUUAGCUUAAUUCCAAAUGUUUGAUGACAAAGAUUCGUUGUUGGAUACUUGGAUGUAUGUUCUUGAAGACUUUGGCAGUGAGAGGUCUGCUUUGGCAAAAGACAAAAUCUACACACACAUUAACCUUAAACAAAUGACUAUCAUCAGGCUCAUGCAGUGUUGAUAUAUGGUGGUCAAGCAAAUGCAGCAAUGGUAAUUUUUUCUUGGAAUGAGUUUUAAUUUCAUUAUUUGCGAAAGUGUUUAGGGUGAUUUUAGAUUUGAUAAAUAACUUGACAAUUAGGAUUUUGAUAUAAUUUCAUUUACUUUCUAUUGAUUUUUUUCCUAUGCUUACAAAUUCAUAGUUGGUUGCUUUUUCGUAACCUAAAUAUUGAAAAAGAAAUGGGGCAAGAUUCGGUGGAACAUUACCGAUAAAGUUUGGUGGCCA